rnacentral:rRNA from 1 species
UACGGCGAGUGAAGCGGCAACAGCUCAAAUUUGAAAUCUGGCGCAAGCCCGAGUUGUAAUUUGCAGAGGAUGCUUUUGGCGCGGUGCCUUCUGAGUUCCCUGGAACGGGACGCCGGAGAGGGUGAGAGCCCCGUACAGUUGGACACCAAGCCUUUGUAAAGCUCCUUCGACGAGUCGAGUAGUUUGGGAAUGCUGCUCAAAAUGGGAGGUAAAUGCCUUCUAAAGCUAAAUACCGGCCAGAGACCGAUAGCGCACAAGUAGAGUGAUCGAAAGAUGAAAAGCACUUUGAAAAGAGGGUUAAACAGUACGUGAAAUUGUUGAAAGGGAAGCGCUCGUGACCAGACUUGCGCCCGGCGGAUCAUCCGGCCUUCUGGCCGGUGCACUCCGCCGGGCUCAGGCCAGCAUCGGUUUUCCUGGGGGGAUAAAAGUGGCGGGAACGUAGCUCCUCCGGGAGUGUUAUAGCCCGCCGCAGCAUACCCCCGGGGGGACCGAGGACCGCGCUUCGGCAAGGAUGCUGGCGUAAUGGUCACCAGCGACCCGUC